rnacentral:rRNA from 1 species
UAGGGAAUCUUCCACAAUGGGUGCAAACCUGAUGGGGCAAUGCCGCGUGAGUGAAGAAGGUCUUCGGAUCGUAAAGCUCUGUUGUUAGAGAAGAACACGUGCUAGGUAACUACUAGCGCCUUGACGGUAUCUAACCAGAAAGUCACGGCUAACUACGUGCCAGCAGCCGCGGUAAUACGUAGGUGACAAGCGUUGUCCGGAUUUAUUGGGCGUAAAGGGAGCGCAGGCGGUCUGUUUAGUCUAAUGUGAAAGCCCACGGCUUAACCGUGGAACGGCAUUGGAAACUGACAGACUUGAAUGUAGAAGAGGAAAAUGGAAUUCCAAGUGUAGCGGUGGAAUGCGUAGAUAUUUGGAGGAACACCAGUGGCGAAGGCGAUUUUCUGGUCUAACAUUGACGCUGAGGCUCGAAAGCGUGGGGAGCGAACAGGAUUAGAUACCCUGGUAGUCCACGCCGUAAACGAUGAGUGCUAAGUGUUGGGGGCUUUCCGGCCCUCGGUGCUGGAGCUAACGUAUUAAGCACUCCGCCUGGGGAUUACGACCGCAAGGUUG